rnacentral:rRNA from 1 species
UCCGUAGGUGAACCUGCGGAAGGAUCAAUACAAAAGAGGGGUUAAGGAGAGAUGUGUUGAAAAAAAGAGACAUGAUAGGCAAAUAUAUGUUUUUAUCUUUACACAACUCAUAACAAUGGAUCUCUGGGCUCUUGCAUCGAUGAAGAACGCAGCUAAACGCGAAAUGUGUUGUGACUUGCAAUCUUUGUGAAACAUCAAUCUUUGAACGCACCUUGUACCUAGAGGUUCGCCUCUCGGUGUGCCUGUUUGAGUAUGGCAUUGCAGCUCACUCGUCGGAAGAGAGUGGCAUUGAGCGCGCCGGCGGCCGCUUGAAAGAGAGGGCGCGACCACGUGGCCAUCCGGGGAUAGAUGAUCUGGGCGACCACGUGACCGCGCACUGCUUCGGCACCACACACACGCAUCUCAAAUCAGGCAGGACGACCCGCUGAACUUAAGCAUAUCAAUAAGCGGAGG